GACAGAGGUGCCGAGCGUUAGGCGGAAUCACUGGGCUUAAAGCGUGUGUAGGCGGGCGGGCAAGUACCUUGUGAAAUCCCACGGCUCAACCGUGGAACGGCUGGGUAUACUGCCUGUCUUGAGCCAACUAGGGGCGAGCGGAACAGACGGUGGAGCGGUGAAAUGCGUAGAUAUCGUCUGGAACGCCGAAGGUGAAAACAGCUCGCUGGGGUUGUGCUGACGCUGAGACACGAAAGCCAGGGGAGCGAACGGGG
rnacentral:rRNA from 1 species